UACAGAGGUCUCAAGCGUUGUUCGGAUUCAUUGGGCGUAAAGGGUGUGUAGGUGGCGCGCUAAGUCGGGUGUGAAAUUUCGGAGCUUAACUCCGAAACUGCAUUCGAUACUGGCGUGCUUGAGGACUGGAGAGGAGACUGGAAUUCAUGGUGUAGCAGUGAAAUGCGUAGAGAUCAUGAGGAAGACCAGUGGCGAAGGCAGCUCGCUGGGACGGUACUGACGCUGAGGCGCGAAAGCGUGGGGAGCGAACAGG
rnacentral:rRNA from 1 species